CAGUAGCCACGGGAAUACGAAGGGGGCUAGCGUUGCUCGGAAUUACUGGGCGUAAAGGGCGCGUAGGCGGACAGUUCAGUCGGGGGUGAAAGCCCGGGGCUCAACCUCGGAAUUGCCUUCGAUACUGACUGUCUUGAAUAUGAGAGAGGUGUGUGGAACUCCGAGUGUAGAGGUGAAAUUCGUAGAUAUUCGGAAGAACACCAGUGGCGAAGGCGACACACUGGCUCAUUACUGACGCUGAGGCGCGAAAGCGUGGGGAGCAAACAGGAUUAGAUACCCCUGUAGUCCCUGUCUCUUAUAC
rnacentral:rRNA from 1 species